GCAUUGCCUCAGUACGGCGAGUGAAGCGGCAAAAGCUCAAAUUUGAAACCCUCGGGAUUGUAAUUUGAAGAUUUGGCAUUGGAGAAAGCUAACCCAAGUUGCUUGGAAUAGUACGUCAUAGAGGGUGACAACCCCGUCUGGCUAACCGUUCUCCAUGUAUUGCCUUAUCAAAGAGUCGAGUUGUUUGGGAAUACAUGAGUGAUAAAAAUA
rnacentral:rRNA from 1 species